rnacentral:rRNA from 1 species
CCCUUAGAGUUUGAUCCUGGCUCAGGAUGAACGCUGGCGGCGUGCCUAAUACAUGCAAGUCGAGCGAACUGAUUAGAAGCUUGCUUCUAUGACGUUAGCGGCGGACGGGUGAGUAACACGUGGGCAACCUGCCUGUAAGACUGGGAUAACUUCGGGAAACCGAAGCUAAUACCGGAUAGGAUCUUUUCCUUCAUGGGAGAUGAUUGAAAGAUGGUUUCGGCUAUCACUUACAGAUGGGCCCGCGGUGCAUUAGCUAGUUGGUGAGGUAACGGCUCACCAAGGCCACGAUGCAUAGCCGACCUGAGAGGGUGAUCGGCCACACUGGGACUGAGACACGGCCCAGACUCCUACGGGAGGCAGCAGUAGGGAAUCUUCCGCAAUGGACGAAAGUCUGACGGAGCAACGCCGCGUGAGUGAUGAAGGCUUUCGGGUCGUAAAACUCUGUUGUUAGGGAAGAACAAGUACGAGAGUAACUGCUCGUACCUUGACGGUACCUAACCAGAAAGCCACGGCUAACUACGUGCCAGCAGCCGCGGUAAUACGUAGGUGGCAAGCGUUAUCCGGAAUUAUUGGGCGUAAAGCGCGCGCAGGCGGUUUCUUAAGUCUGAUGUGAAAGCCCACGGCUCAACCCGUGGAGGGUCAUUGGAAACUGGGGAACUUGAGUGCAGAAGAGAAAAGCGGAAUUCCACGUGUAGCGGUGAAAUGCGUAGAGAUGUGGAGGA